UCCUUGGUGGUCCAGUGAUUAAGACUCUGCACUUCCACUGCAGGGGGCGAAGGUUCGAUCCCCACUCGGGGGG
rnacentral:tRNA from 1 species